UUUAUCAGCCGCACCAUCAUGAACAAGCCCGAUCUCGUCUGAUCUCGGAGGCUAAGCAUGGUCGGGCCUGGUUAGUACUUGGGCUUGGGUAGAGGUGUUGGUGCGC
rnacentral:rRNA from 10 species